ACGUCUGGAAGCCGUUCCCUUGAGAGGGGGUACUGUCAUGAUCUGGGCUGUGGGGCUUCCCUUAGCCACCUGAGAGAGAAGUGAAAGUACAACACCACCUAUACUGAGUCACAGCGUGUUGAUCUCUGUGCUGUUUCUGGUAAUAGCAGCAGGAGGAGCCACCAUCAUUUACUGCAUUCACAGAGCUCACAGAAAAGCAAGAACGGAGAAUGGAGAGAUGAAUGUGGAAAAUAAUUUUGAGGAUUCAACGUAUGUUACUCUGCAGAAAAAAUACAAUGCUGAGGAAAUGUAUGGAACUAUCGGGAACAGAUCAAAGGAACAGUAGAAUGUCAGGUGUGUUGUGAAAUGUACAUUUGGCUUACUAAACCCUGUUUGCCGCUCAACAUUACAUGACAAAUUUAUUGUUAAAAAAGCAUCUGCUAAAUGAGGACAGGUGAAUGUAAAUCUAAUUAGGCAUUAUUAUUCUUGUUAUGUUGUCCUUUUUAUGCAAUUCUAGACAGUAUUCAUGGAUUAUUUAUGAUGACAGAACAAAAAGUCAAAUGAAAAUCAUAUAUUAUUAUGUUUUUUUUAGCCCUCUCUUAGCUUUAUUUUUUAGGCAUUUUGCAAUAUUAUCAUGUCCAACAUUGAAAAAGCAAAGCGCAUUCUUAAAGUGCUAUAUUUAUCUGUUUUAAUAUUCACUACAAACAAACAAAAUAACAUGAUUAGGCAUGAUCUCAUUUCAUACAUCAGACAUGGUCUCUAAAAAAGCCCUGCCCUCACAGGCGUGGCAGAAUGAAAGACUUAAUAAAUGUGCAGAGCAUUGCACUAGCUUCUGCUUUUCUCAGUGACCAACAGGAUCACAACUUGCUUAAAACUCUCAAAAUGGCAGAGGCAGCUAAACGAUAUGCCUUUACUGGGAGAAUAAAUAAUCGCAACUAUACUGAGGUCAGCUGUGACAGACACAUAAGCAUCGAGGAUCUGAAAAAAAGAACUUCAGGAUGAUACGAAUGUCAAGCAAAUACACGAUGACUUUAAAAGAUUGCGAAAACCCUAUGAACUAAAAAUACUUGAAAAUCUGAAUAGAUACAUCCCACACUACCCAACCCCCACUGAAUUUCACAUCUCUGAGGUGACUCAUGUCACUAACGGCGAUGAUUUUCCGAAAAUCAUGGAGUCAGGGGGAUUCAAGGCUAAUGAGAACUUAUCAUGGUGGAGUCUAAAGAUUGAUAAUGACAAUAUAAAAGAAGCUGAGAAACGUUUUUUGGAGAAGGUGUUCCCAAACAGAUCCCAAGAGCAAAUAGAAAAGCAGGAGCAAUUCCUCAGCAAAUUCACCACAUCACCUGCAUUCCACAUUGACAAAUCACGCUACGGCAAUUUUCGGUUCACGUUUCCACUGGAAAAACUGAUGGAAGCAUACAAGGAGCAGAUGUGUGGAGGCCAAGACCCAGUUCUCAGAGAAUAUAAGACAAUGUUUUACAAGCAGGAGAUCAUGUAUGUUGUUCUCGUUCACAGUCCUGAUGACAAUACAAUGUUUGAGAAUUUUCCAAGGAUUGAAGAAAGCCCAUUUAUAGAGUACAGGCAAAAUCAAAUUGUCUGGACAGCACAAGCCAUUGGUAAUAAAAUUAAAUUUAAACUGACACUGAAUACAGAAGACAAAAUAGCAGAUGUUGAACCUGUGUCUGAGAAUUAUUAUGUAUGGGAUCAUGUUAGCCUAGCAUUUAAUUUCGAUGGUGUAUUACAGUUCCCUAAAGAAA